ACAGUGGAACUUAACACCUUCUUCCUGAAAUUUUGUCUCUGGAUUCCUCCCAGGAACCCCUUGGUUGUGUAUCGGCUGAUCCUUUGGUGGUUAAUUGCUAUCCCGGCAAUUCGUGAGUACAACACCUACUUGCAAGACAGGUCUUCUUGACAUAUAGAUUAUAAUAUCCUCCUACACCUUUUCUAGAAUCAUGAGUUCCCAUCCCGGCUUUUGUUUAUGGGCGUGCAAUCUUUCUAUUGAUGGAUAACUAAAUAUUUUUUUCAAUAUAUCAAUUAUCUCAGAAAACCAGUGAAGAAGGUGGGAGCUUUUUGUUGGCUUUCGUUAGCUAUAUGCAUGGUAGAGCUGCUUAUAUGCAUGAAGUUUGGACACGGUGAGUUAUUUUAUAGUAUGUAGCAUAUUCUUGGCAAAUUAACAAGGGCAUACAGUUUAUGUCGAUACAUGCUUGGUCAGUCUUUGUGCUAACAUGAAUCAACAUAACCAGGUUUGUUUCAAGAUCCAAUGCCUACUUGGUUGAUUACUCUUUGGAUUUGUGUGGGGAUUUCUCUUGCGCUUUUCUUGCUGGAAUGGUCACGAAGGGAUCACUUACGCUCAAUAAAGCAGCUGUAAUAGCUUCAUCGCAGUGUUUCUGCUCCAAACCUUCUAUUACCUUGUAUUUGUUUGUUUUCAAGAUAACUAUACAUAGCUAGUCUCUUUAACUAGACCUUAAGGUAGGCAAAUUUUACUUGACAAUAGUUCCGCCAUUACAGGCCUGAGAUUGCGAGAGUUUCAAGAUAAUUAUAAUAUUUGGAACAAUUUUAUUUGAG
rnacentral:sRNA from 1 species